GAUGAACGCUGGCGGCGUGCCUAAUACAUGCAAGUCGAGCGAACAGAUCAUGCGCUUGCUCCUCUCACGUUAGCCGCGCACGGGUGUGUAACACGUGUAUCACCUCCCUAUAAUACUGGGAUCACUUCGAGACACCGGCGCUAAUACCAGAUAUAUAUUUACCCCCAUGUUUCAGUAGUGAAAGACGGGUUUGCGGGCACUUAUAGAUGGCUCCCGGCCGCGUUAGCUAGGUGGUAAGUUAACGGCUUACUAAGGCAACGAUGGGUAGCCGACCUGAGAGGGGGGUCGCCGACAUGGGAACGGGGACACGGUCCAGACUCCUACGGGAGGCAGCAGAAGGGAAUGGGAGGCAAUGGGCGGAAACAUGACGGAGCAACGCCGCGUGAGUGAUAAAGGUGUUCGGAGCGUAAAGAUCUGUUAUUAGGGAAGAACCACUGUGUAAUUUGCUAUGCCCGUAUUGACGGUACCGAAUCAGAAAGCCCCGGCUAACUACGUG
rnacentral:rRNA from 1 species